rnacentral:rRNA from 1 species
GACGAACGCUGGCGGCGUGCUUAACACAUGCAAGUCGAGCGGUAAGGCCCUUUCGGGGGUACACGAGCGGCGAACGGGUGAGUAACACGUGGGUGACCUGCCCUCAGCUCUGGGAUAAGCCUGGGAAACCGGGUCUAAUACUGGAUAUGACUCCAUGACGCAUGUUGUGGGGUGGAAAGCCUUGUGCGGCUGAGGAUGGGCCCGCGGCCUAUCAGCUUGUUGGUGGGGUGANGGCCUACCAAGGCGACGACGGGUAGCCGGCCUGAGAGGGCGACCGGCCACACUGGGACUGAGACACGGCCCAGACUCCGUACGGGAGGCAGCAGGUGGGGAAUCUUGCGCAAUGGGCGAAAGCCUGACGCAGCGACGCCGCGUGAGGGAUGACGGCCCUUGG